rnacentral:antisense_RNA from 2 species
UUCAUUGGGCGGGCCUUGUCGGGGGAGCCUCACGGCUCACCGGUGAUUGGUUCUACGUGCCGGUCUGCUAAACCCGUCAAUGUGCCCGCUCACCCAG